UACUACAGCCAUACCGCCCUGAACGUGCCCCAUCUGAUCUGGGAAGCUAAGCAGAGUCAGGCCUGGUUUGAACUUGGAUGGGAGUAAGUUAACAUCAGAGGGCUUGUAGAGU
rnacentral:rRNA from 1 species